rnacentral:lncRNA from 1 species
CUUAACAACAGAAAAAUUAAGCCAGUUCAAUAGGGUGUCCACGAAGGCCCAAGCACGAAGAGCCCCUCUCAACCUAGGGGAAAACCAUGGCACACCACCCACCCAGUGUAAAUGCAGGUAAGUUACUUGACCAUCAGAUCAAUUAAUAUGUACCCAAAUCUACGGAUGUUUGUACUGCUAGUUGCUCGGAUAGAUAUGCCCAAUUCGUCCAAAAAAAUAUGCUUACAAAAUCAACGAAAGAUACCAUGAUCCAAAUUCUUCUGCUUUCCAAAGUAGAAAAAAAGAGCAUGAUGUCAUAAGUGACAGGCUGGAAAGCAAGGUAGAAAAAAUUAUCAUCAUGCCCUUAAAAAGGUGCACAGUAAGUGAACCCAUAAAAAAUGAAGGGCUUACAAUGGCCCCUAGUGGAAGUCUAGGAGCACAGACACGUCACGUCCUACUGUGACCUCCCACUGUCCCAAUAAAAAUGUGCCACGUCAAAACUCCUUAAACGUGGACAAUCAAACUACCUCUAAUAAUAUAAGCCAAAAUAACACUUUUAGCGAAACAUCCUUAUUAAAACAUACUAAAAAAAGUAACAAAAUUCAAAGUACAACAUUACUAGAUUUAGGGAAGGGGCCCACAAUAUAUCCUCAAUCUCCUACUUCUAAUAUCCCUGGACCUUCACAAACUACGAUAAAUAUUAUCUCCAUAAGUAACAUUAAUAAACCCAUCAAACCUUCUAUAAAUACCAAGAAUACCCAGAUGUUCAAGAAAACCGUCGAGCUCACAGAAGAAACUCCCAAACACAACCUACAAUGAAUUCGCUGAACCUAAAUACAACCCAAAUCUACCUCCCACAUAUUCACCUCUACCCAGUAUCAGGUACAAUAUCAUAGGUAGAGAUGGUCUUACUAGGUCAAGCCUUCAUAAUGCAUGUAUAUAUGGAAGAAAGGGAAGCCAUGUUCAUCAUCAGCACGCUGGAGCUACUGGAUCAGGGGGGGGGAGGGAAGGGAUGAGGAGAGUGAUGGAGUUGUACAACAGCCAUGUUUGGAUGUCUACUCUACUACAAUAUUUCAUGAACUUCUCAGUCCUAACCAUCCUUUUCUUUUACAUACCGACGUGGGAAACUCUAACAGCCCCCAUGGCACAGAUCCCUCCACCAUAAAUAACCCAGUCAACACCACCAUACUUUUUGACCUACCACAAAUUCAUAGAUAUCGACCCACUAUACUACCAUCGGCAGUUGCAAGGGUCGACCAUGGGGGAGGUUUCACUGCAGAACCAACCGACUCCGAGUAGGCCACUGGAGAAUCAGGCAGUCCCAACAGUCAACAAUGUAGCCUCGUCCUCCCAUGUACUACCCAAUAUCACUUUAACUCAUCCAAGACUAGUGAUUACCUUACUCAGGAAAUAGAGGAUACAUUAGAGAUAAUACGAGAAAUAAGAAUCAAAAUAACUGUGUUAAAGGAUAUAAAAGCAAUGGUAUUCAAUGACAAGUACGCCAUGAAAUUCAUCCUUAUCUAUCCCCAAAACUUAAUAAGGACAUACCUAGACAUCCGUUGACCUUUCAACCCCCAGGUGGGGAAUUCUGUCCUGGUCAUGAACCCAACAGUGAUGAACCAAACUUUUCCUUUGACAAAUACCUCAAGAGCAGCUCCGUUGAUCAACCCACCACAAAGGAACAUAUCCAUGAACAUCAUAAUAUGAAACUGUAGAAGGGAAAAUGGUCAGGAUUUUAGAAAGAACUUUAGAUCCUUAGUAGACUGGCACAAACCGCCUUUUGUUGCCCUACUAGAGACUAAGAUGCAAGACAACCAGUUGCUACUCAAUGACUUCCCUUUUAAUAGGAUCAUUGAGGUUACAGUAAUUGAAAAUGCAGGUGGGCUAACUGUUAUGUGGGAUGACUCUCUCCUAAAACUAGAUGAAAUCGCCACUACAGACCAGAAAAUUCAUGCUAUAGUUAAGGUAAGACAAAAAAAUGACAUGUGGUUGUUUAGCUGUAUUUAUGCUAAUACAUUCAUAUGUAAACGCAAGAUACUAUGGCAAAAUCUCCAAAAUAUCAAGGAUAACUUCCCAGGUAAGUGGUUGAUAGGAGGAGACUUAAUGAACUCUUGUCAAACUCAGAAAAGAAAGGAGGUAAGUUAAUUAAUCAAACACGAUCAUCAGAAUUUCAACAUAUGAUAAAUUAUUGUGAAUUCAUAGUUAUGUGCUAUAAAGGUAUUAAAUAUACCUAGUUAAACAGAAUAUUCAAAAGUCAUAAUGCUUUGAUUUUAGAGAGGUUGGGCAGAUUCCUUGCUACUAAUGAUUGACUGGUUAGUUAUCCUAAUGCCCAUGUCAUUUAUCUUCCACGUACCCAUUUCGACCAUUGUCCUCUCCUAUUGACCCUGUUUAAAGAUGAGCAAAAUCUGCGGAAGUGCUUCUUUAAAUUUAAAAAAUAUGGACGACUCACCCGAAUUAUAUUAACGUCAUUUAUCAUGUAUGGAGGAACAACCCUCCACUAGAAGAAGCAGUAACAACUUUUGAAGAAGAACCAUUUUCAUGGGCAUGCAAGAAUAUAAGGAACAUCUUUAGGAAAAAAGAUAAGCUUCUUCGUAGAAUCCAGGGAAUCCAAAGUUCCCCAAACUAUCAUCACAACAUGUUCCUUAUCAAUCUAGAAAAAAACCUCAUACGUGAUUUUAACAACAUUCUUAGGAUGGAAGAGGACUUCUGGAAGCUUAAUUCCAGAAUAACUUGGUUGAACGAGGAUGACGCUAAAAUAAAAAAAUUUCACACUUCGACGUCAAUUAGAAGAAGUAAAUAUAAAAUAGUAUCCUUAAAACUGGACAAUAACUCUUACAUAAAUGAGCAAUCGGAUAUAGUAAACCAUAUUCUAGAUUUUUUCAAGGACCUGUUUAAAUCCAACCAUCACAAAUCCUUCAGAGUCGUAGUUCCUAAAGCUAAAGUAUGCCUCUCCGAAAUAGAUAAACUGGACCUGGGGAGAGUGCCCUCUGAAAAUGAAGUUCGAGAGGCUGUUUUCUCUUUUCAACCCUUUAAAGCCCCUGAUGGCUUACACCCAUACAUCUACCUAAAAUAUUGGUAUAUUGUAAGUCAGUCUGUUUUUUCCUUCUGCAAUAGAGCCUUUAUGGAAUCCAAGAUUAACCCAAGUACCAAAUCAACACAUAUAUGUCGUAUUCCUAAAAGUCCUAAUGCACAGACUCUCAAAAGUUACCGCCCUAUCAGUCUAUGUAAUACUUCUUAUAAAAUAUUCAUGAAAAUAAUCUCCAGAAGACUGCAUCCCAUCAUGGAUAAAAUCAUCGAGCCCUAUCAAACUAAUUUCCUUAAAAAUAGACAAGCCACUGACAAUGUUAUAGUCAUACAAGAAAUAAUCCGACAUUUCAAAAAAAUGAAAGGGAAAAAAGGCAAUGUCAUUACGAAAAUAUACUUAAAAAAGGGUUUUGAUAAGAUGGAAUAGCCGUUCAUAAGACAUACCUUACAUUACUUUAACUAACCCAAAAACAACAUAGACCUUAAAUGUCAUGUAUUUGUACUAGCUCAGUAUCAGUCUUAGUCAAUGGUACGAGGACUGAAUUUUUAGCCCCUCGAGAGGGAUUUGCCAGGGAAAUCCCAUAUCGCCGUACAUUUUUAUUCUUUGCAUGAAAGUCCUGUCCCAUAACAUAAAUCGGGACCUCAACAAUAAUAUGUGGAACCCUAUAAAAAUUAGCAGGACGGGCCCAUACCUGUCCCAUCUAUUCUUUGCUGAUGACUUAGUACUAAUGUCUACGACUGAUAGGAGCAAAUGCAUAAAUAUCGAAGGAACCCUCUACAAUUUUUGCACCUGGUCCGGGCAAAGCAUCAAUUAUGGUAAAUAAAAAAUCCUUUUCUCAGAUAAUUGUGAUGAAAGUAACAAAAGUACUAUUUCUUCUAUCCUUAGUAUCAAAUUAUGUACGAAUUUUGGGAAAUACUUGGGGUUUUCUAUUUUUAAUUCUAAGCCCAGUGCCAAAGAUUUCAAUUCAUCAACGAUAACCUUAAGAAAAAACUUUUGGGAUGGAAAGCAAAUUUCUUAAAUAUUGUUGGGCGCACUACCCUUACAAAAUAUUGCCUUAAUAAUAUCCCUACCCACAUAAUGCAAUAUAAUAAGCUCCCUCAAACAGUCGUCAAACAGAUCGAUAAAAUUCAGCGGGACUCUGUCUGGGGAACUAACACUACCGAAAAAAGAAUGCACUUUGUGGGCUGGGACACCCUUGUCAAACCUAAAAACAAGGGAGUCUGGGUUUUCAAAAAACUAAUACUAAAAAUAAAGCUCUUCAUGCAAAGUUGGCACGGAGAAGCCAAAAUCUCUAUGGUCUUCUGUUCUUCUAGCCGAGUAUACUAGUAAUAACAACCUUGAGGGGAUUAGUCACAAUACCAGAAACAAUAGUAGUACUUGGAAAAAUGUCAUUAAAGGAUAGAGGGUAUAUGGAACGAUACUUGUUUGUCCUUCAAGUCCCCUCUGAGGAACUCAAUCCAUACUGCUUUGAACUUGGGGGAGGAAAACUUACCUGUUGAAACACUAAUAAAGAAUGGAACAUGGGAUCUUUCCUCCUUAGGAUAUGACCUUCCGGAGGGCAUAACUGCCACCAUAAAGGCUACUAUUAUAUCGAAAAAUCUUAAUUUGAGCGACAAACUCAGGUGCACCUUAGCCCCUGGGAAAUGGUUUUCUACAGGCCUAGCGUACUAUCAUAUUCUAGCAAAAAAUCUUAAUGUUGCUGAUCCCAUUGCUGUCUUUAAAUAGGUUUGGAAAUUGAAGUGCCCCAAUAAGAUAAAGUUUUUUAUUUGGUUGUGUUACCACAAAAUGCUCCCGACUAAAGCCUCACUAAGUCACAUAGGCAAAAAAGUGGAACCCAAUACAACAUCUGCAACGCAACCGAAACCAUAGAUCACAUCUUCCGAGAAUGCCCUAUGGCACUCCAGUUCUUGUACAAUAACAACUUGUUUUCAAUCAUUCAACUCUUAAAAGAUUUAUCCUUUAUUGAUUGGCUUGAUAAAAUUAGGAAAAUGUCUAACGUACGAAUAGGGAGCUACAUGCUUUGGAGUGAGGUAUUUCUUUUCUAACUUUGAAACAUCUGGUUGACUAGAAACGAUAAUUUGUUUAGUAAUAGAAGUAAUCUCAUACCCACAAACCUUUCAUAAAACAGGGCCUUGGAGUUCCAUUUACUAACUAGUACCCACAGGUCCACCAAACAAAAUACAAUUGAACAAUGGCUACCCCCUACGGAAGGAUGGAAGUUGAAUAUUGAUGGCUCUUUUGGCCAUAACACUAGGAGAGGGAGAGCGGGAGGAUUACUACGUGAUAACAAAGGAAAUUGGAUUAAAGGUUUUCGGGAUAGCAUUAGUGCGAAUUCGCCACUUGAAGCCGAGACAACUGCUCUAUAUCUGGGUUUAUGAUUAGCUAUUCAGCUGAAGUGUGAAAAAUUGAUUAUUGCUACUGAUUCUCAAUCCUUAGCUUCACUUUGCACAGAUAAACCUGAGAUCGAUGACAGUCUUAUUGUUUUGUGCAGGGAUCUUCUUCGAAUGCUGGGGAACCCGCGGGUAUGCCAUGAAGGAAGGACUUGUAAUAGAGCUGCGGACAAGCUAGCUAAGGCGGGUAGAAGGAUGAAAACAAAUCAGCUUUUUGAGGAAUG